rnacentral:tRNA from 1 species
GCAUUCGUGGCGUAAUUGGAAGCAUACUCGACGCGUAUUCGAGAGAUCCAGGGUUCGAUUCCUGGCGAGAGCA